rnacentral:rRNA from 1 species
UUGAACGCUGGCGGCAGGCCUAACACAUGCAAGUCGAACGGUAACAGGAAGAAGCUUGCUUCUUUGCUGACGAGUGGCGGACGGGUGAGUAAUGUCUGGGAAACUGCCUGAUGGAGGGGGAUAACUACUGGAAACGGUAGCUAAUACCGCAUAACGUCGCAAGACCAAAGAGGGGGACCUUCGGGCCUCUUGCCAUCGGAUGUGCCCAGAUGGGAUUAGCUAGUAGGUGGGGUAACGGCUCACCUAGGCGACGAUCCCUAGCUGGUCUGAGAGGAUGACCAGCCACACUGGAACUGAGACACGGUCCAGACUCCUACGGGAGGCAGCAGUGGGGAAUAUUGCACAAUGGGCGCAAGCCUGAUGCAGCCAUGCCGCGUGUAUGAAGAAGGCCUUCGGGUUGUAAAGUACUUUCAGCGGGGAGGAAGGGAGUAAAGUUAAUACCUUUGCUCAUUGACGUUACCCGCAGAAGAAGCACCGGCUAACUCCGUGCCAGCAGCCGCGGUAAUACGGAGGGUGCAAGCGUUAAUCGGAAUUACUGGGCGUAAAGCGCACGCAGGCGGUUUGUUAAGUCAGAUGUGAAAUCCCCGGGCUCAACCUGGGAACUGCAUCUGAUACUGGCAAGCUUGAGUCUCGUAGAGGGGGGUAGAAUUCCAGGUGUAGCGGUGAAAUGCGUAGAGAUCUGGAGGAAUACCGGUGGCGAAGGUGGCCCCCUGGACGAAGACUGACGCUCAGGUGCGAAAGCGUGGGGAGCAAACAGGAUUAGAUACCCUGGUAGUCCACGCCGUAAACGAUGUCGACUUGGAGGUUGUGCCCUUGAGGCGUGGCUUCCGGAGCUAACGCGUUAAGUCGACCGCCUGGGGAGUACGGCCGCAAGGUUAAAACUCAAAUGAAUUGACGGGGGCCCGCACAAGCGGUGGAGCAUGUGGUUUAAUUCGAUGCAACGCGAAGAACCUUACCUGGUCUUGACAUCCACGGAAGUUUUCAGAGAUGAGAAUGUGCCUUCGGGAACCGUGAGACAGGUGCUGCAUGGCUGUCGUCAGCUCGUGUUGUGAAAUGUUGGGUUAAGUCCCGCAACGAGCGCAACCCUUAUCCUUUGUUGCCAGCGGUCCGGCCGGGAACUCAAAGGAGACUGCCAGUGAUAAACUGGAGGAAGGUGAGGAUGACGUCAAGUCAUCAUGGCCCUUACGACCAGGGCUACACACGUGCUACAAUGGCGCAUACAAAGAGAAGCGACCUCGCGAGAGCAAGCGGACCUCAUAAAGUGCGUCGUAGUCCGGAUUGGAGUCUGCAACUCGACUCCAUGAAGUCGGAAUCGCUAGUAAUCGUGGAUCAGAAUGCCACGGUGAAUACGUUCCCGGGCCUUGUACACACCGCCCGUCACACCAUGGGAGUGGGUUGCAAAAGAAGUAGGUAGCUUAACCUUCGGGAGGGCGCUUACCACUUUGUGAUUCAUGACUGGGGUG